AGUGUAUUGGACUACCAUGGCAAUCACGGGUAACGGAGAAUUAGGUUCGAUUCCGGAGAGGGAGCCUAGAGAAACGGCUACCACAUCUACGGAAGGCAGCAGGCGCGAAAAUUGCCCAAUCCUGAUUCAGGGAGCAGUGACAAGAAAUAACAACUUUCAACUUUUGUUGAAAAGUGUAAUGAGGAUAAUUUUACAAACCUUACCGAAAAGCAAUUGGAGGGGCAAGUCUGGUGCCAGCAGCCGCGGUAAUUCCAGCUCCAAAAGCGUAUAUUAAAGUUGUUGCAGUUAAAAAGCUCGUAGUUGAGGUUCUGGCUGUAUUGGGCCUCUGCACUCGAUGCGGAGGAACCAGCAGUCAUCCGCUUGCAAAUACAUGUCCUUCCUUAACCGGUAGGCUGUAUAAGUAAGCACUUUACCUUGAGAAAAACAGAGUGUUCCAGGCAGGUUUGUCCGGAAUGCGUUAGCAUGGAAUAAUAGAAUAUGACUGAAGUCGAUUUAUUGGUUAAAGGCUUUAGUAAUGAUUAAUAGGAACAAUCGGGG
rnacentral:rRNA from 1 species